UACGUAGGGACCAAGCGUUGUUCGGAUUUACUGGGCGUAAAGGGCGCGUAGGCGGCGCGGUAAGUCACUUGUGAAAUCUCUGAACUUAACUCAGAACGGCCAAGUGAUACUGCAGUGCUAGAGUGUGGAAGGGGCAAUCGGAAUUCUUGGUGUAGCGGUGAAAUGCGUAGAUAUCAAGAGGAACACCUGAGGUGAAGACGGGUUGCUGGGCCAACACUGACGCUGAGGCGCGAAAGCCAGGGGAGCAAACGGG
rnacentral:rRNA from 1 species